rnacentral:rRNA from 1 species
UACGGAGGGUGCGAGCGUUGUCCGGAAUCACUGGGCGUAAAGGGCGCGUAGGCGGCGCGGGUAGUCAUCGGUGAAAGUUCAGGGCUCAACUCUGAAUCGGCCGGUGAUACUCCCGUGCUCGAGCACUGUAGAGGCAGGUGGAAUUCCGGGUGUAGCGGUGGAAUGCGUAGAGAUGUGGAGGAACACCGAUGGCGAAGGCAGCCCCCUGGGCUGAGAUUGACGCUCAGGCACGAAAGCGUGGGGAGCAAACAGG